rnacentral:rRNA from 1 species
UACAGAGGUCCCAAGCGUUGUUCGGAUUCAUUGGGCGUAAAGGGUGCGUAGGCGGCGCGGUAAGUCGGGUGUGAAUACUCGUGAGCUUAACUCCGAAACUGCAUUCGAUACUGCCGUGCUUGAGGACUGGAGAGGAGACUGGAAUUUACGGUGUAGCGGUGAAAUGCGUAGAUAUUGUAAGGAAGACCAGUGGCGAAGGCGGGUCUCUGGACAGUUCCUGACGCUGAGGCACGAAGGCCAGGGGAGCAAACGGG